rnacentral:rRNA from 1 species
UGGGGAAUUUUCCGCAAUGGGCGCAAGCCUGACGGAGCAACGCCGCGUGAGGGAGGAAUGUCUGUGGAUUGUAAACCUCUUUUCUCUGGGAAGAAGAUCUGACGGUANCAGAGGAAUCAGCAUCGGCUAACUCCGUGCCAGCAGCCGCGGUAAGACGGAGGANGCAAGCGUUAUCCGGAAUUAUUGGGCGUAAAGCGUCCGUAGGCGGUUAUGUAAGUCAGUUGUUAAAGACUGCAGCUCAACUGUGGGAGAGCAACUGAAACUGCGUGACUAGAGUAUGGUAGGGGUAGAGGGAAUUCCUAGUGUAGCGGUGAAAUGCGUAGAUAUUAGGAAGAACACCAGUGGCGAAGGCGCUCUACUGGGCCGUAACUGACGCUGAUGGACGAAAGCUAGGGGAGCG